rnacentral:rRNA from 1 species
GACGAACGCUGGCGGCGUGCUUAAUACAUGCCAGUCGAACGGACAGGCCCUGCGUUUGUGGGGUGCUCGAUUGGCGAACGGGUGUGUAACACGUGUGUAACCCGCCCUUGUCUUUGGGAUAACUUCUGGAAACUGCGGCUAAUACCGGAGAGGAUCUUCUGAAGCAUGGUGUGGGUUGGAAAGUUUCGGCGGUUGGGGAUGGACUCGAGGCUUAUCCGCUUGUUUGGGUGGUAGUGGAUUACCAAGGCUUUGACGGGUAGCCGGCCUGGGAGGGUGACCGGCCACAUUGGGACUGAGGUAGGGCCCAGACGCCUACGGGAGGCAGCAGGGGGAAGUCUUGCAGAGUGGGGGGAAGCGUGAUGCAGAGGCGCUGCGUGCGGGAUGACGGGUUACGGGGUGUAAACAGAUGUGGAAGGAGACGAAGCGUGCGUGACGGUAAUGGGUAAAGAAGCACCGGCUAACUACGUG